rnacentral:rRNA from 1 species
UACGUAGGGGGCAAGCGUUGUCCGGAAUUAUUGGGCGUAAAGAGCGUGUAGGCGGUCCGAUCAGUCCGUUGUGAAAGUCCAGGGCUCAACCCUGGAAUGCCGAUGGAUACUGUCGGGCUAGAGUCCGGAAGAGGCGAGUGGAAUUCCUGGUGUAGCGGUGAAAUGCGCAGAUAUCAGGAGGAACACCGAUGGCGAAGGCAGCUCGCUGGGACGGUACUGACGCUGAGACGCGAAAGCGUGGGGAGCAAACAGG